rnacentral:rRNA from 1 species
AUUGAACGCUGGCGGCAUGCCUUACACAUGCAAGUCGAACGGUAACAGGUUAAGCUGACGAGUGGCGAACGGGUGAGUAAUAUAUCGGAACGUGCCCAGUCGUGGGGGAUAACUGCUCGAAAGAGCAGCUAAUACCGCAUACGACCUGAGGGUGAAAGCGGGGGAUCGCAAGACCUCGCACGAUUGGAGCGGCCGAUAUCAGAUUAGGUAGUUGGUGGGGUAAAGGCCAACCAAGCCAACGAUCUGUAGCUGGUCUGAGAGGACGACCAGCCACACUGGGACUGAGACACGGCCCAGACUCCUACGGGAGGCAGCAGUGGGGAAUUUUGGACAAUGGGCGCAAGCCUGAUCCAGCCAUGCCGCGUGCGGGAAGAAGGCCUUCGGGUUGUAAACCGCUUUUGUCAGGGAAGAAAAGGCUUCUGCUAAUACCGGAGGCUCAUGACGGUACCUGAAGAAUAAGCACCGGCUAACUACGUGCCAGCCGCCGCGGUAA